rnacentral:rRNA from 1 species
UACGUAGGAUCCGAGCGUUGUCCGGAAUUACUGGGCGUAAAGGGUGCGUAGGCGGCAAUGUGCGUCAGAGGUGAAAUCCACGGGCUUAACUUGUGGGGUGCCUUUGAUACGGCAUAGCUUGAGUACGAGAGAGGUCGAUGGAAUUCCUGGUGUAGCAGUGAAAUGCGUAGAUAUCAGGAGGAACACCGGUGGCGAAGGCGGUCGGCUGGCUCGUAACUGACGCUGAGGCACGAAAGCGUGGGGAUCAAACAGG